UACGUAGGGGGCGAGCGUUGUCCGGAUUUAUUGGGCGUAAAGAGCUCGUAGGCGGUUUGGUAAGUUGGAUGUGAAAUCUCCAGGCUCAACUUGGAGGGGUCAUUCGAUACUGCCAUGACUAGAGUUCGGUAGGGGAGUGUGGAAUUCCUGGUGGAGCGGUGAAAUGCGCAGAUAUCAGGAGGAACACACGUAGCGAAGGCGGCACUCUGGCCCGGUACUGACGCUGAGGCGCGAAAGCGUGGGGAGCAAACAGG
rnacentral:rRNA from 1 species